CCUCUCCUGCCCAUGGUGGGAGGUUGGGAAGGACAUUCCCCCAUUUCCAUUUGCUCUGCCAUUCAAAACCUUGUGAGGGCCCUCAGGGAAGAAUCCCUUUGCAGGUCAUAAACUGACCUGCAGAAUUAUGGGAUCUUAACUGUGGGGAGAGACCUAGAAGACCGGCUAGUGACCAGAUUCUCAUCUAACUCCUUUUUUUUUGCAGAUGAGGAAACUGAGGCCCCACGUGGUGAAGACAAUUUUUACCCGAAUCCACCCACAACAAGAGACCAUUUGGAUAAUGUACAUUAUGGGAAGAGAACAGAGUCUCAGUGAAGAUCAUGUUUCCCCAGCAACACAGGUGCCAGGAGUAGCUGGCUCUGGUCCCAGCCCAGACUCAGAAAUCCUGAGCCACCAGACCAUUUCUAGAUUAACAAAGGCCUGCAUUAAUUUGAUUUCAGUGACCCACUGGAAACCAGUGUCAGCAUAACAACAGUUACGAGAGCUAAACCUACAAAAUAGAAACACAAGUAAAACUUGUUCAAGUGGUUUGCAGUCAUUGAACAUAGAUCAGCUCCUAUGAAAACAAACUCCAUGGGUUUUCUUUGAUGGCAGUUCUGCUCUAAAGAUGGAUAAGGAAGGAGGUUCCAAGAUGGCCGAAUAGGAACAGCUCCAGUCUACAGCUCCCAGCAUGAGCAACGCAGAAGACAGGGGAUUUCUGCAUUUCCAAUUGAGAACACAGGAGCUAUGUGGAGAGUUGAUGGAGGGACAUUCCAGGCAGAGAGAACAGCAAACACAAAGGCCUUGAAGGGCUCAACACCACAUGGAAGCUGCCAAGGCUUGGGGCUCGCACCAUCUGAAGACAUGGUCUGAACUCUACGUUGGCCCUUUCAGCC
rnacentral:lncRNA from 1 species